rnacentral:rRNA from 1 species
AGAACGAACGCUGGCGGCAGGCUUAACACAUGCAAGUCGAACGGUUGUAGCAAUACAGCAGUGGCGCACGGGUGAGUAACGCGUGGGAACAUUCCUUUCAGUCGGGAAUAACAGCGGGAAACUGCUGCUAAUACCUGAUACUCCCUCCGGGGGAAAGAUUUAUCGCUGAAAGAUUGGCCCGCGUCAGAUUAGCUAGUUGGUGGGGUAAUGGCCUACCAAGGCUCCGAUCUGUAGCUGGUCUGAGAGGACGACCAGCCACACUGGAACUGAGACACGGUCCAGACUCCUACGGGAGGCAGCAGUGGGGAAUAUUGGACAAUGGGCGCAAGCCUGAUCCAGCCAUGCCGCGUGCGGGAAGAAGGCCUUCGGGUUGUAAACCGCUUUUGUCAGGGAAGAACGCUCCAGAUUAAUACCUUGGAGUAAUGACGUACCUAGAAGAAUAAGCACCGGCUAACUACGUGCCAGCAGCCGC